GACGUAGGAAGCGAGCGUUGUCCGGAUUCAUUGGGCGUAAAGAGCGCGCAGGCGGCUUGGUAAGUCGGAUGUGAAAUCCCGAGGCUCAACCUCGGGUCUGCAUCCGAUACUGCCCGGCUAGAGGUAGGUAGGGGAGAUCGGAAUUCCUGGUGUAGCGGUGAAAAUGCGCAGAUAUCAGGAGGGAAACACCGGUGGGCGAAGGCGGAUCUCUGGGCCUUACCUGACGCUCAGGCGCGAAAAGCUAGGGGGAGCGAACUGG
rnacentral:rRNA from 1 species